rnacentral:rRNA from 1 species
UACGGAGGAUGCGAGCGUUAUCCGGAUUUAUUGGGUUUAAAGGGUGCGCAGGCGGUCCGUUAAGUCAGCGGUAAAAUUGCGGGGCUCAACUCCGUCGAGCCGUUGAAACUGAUGUUCUUGAGUGGGCGAGAAGUAUGCGGAAUGCGCGGUGUAGCGGUGAAAUGCAUAGAUAUCACGCAGAACUCCGAUUGCGAAGGCAGCAUACCGGUGCACAACUGACGCUCAGGCACGAAAGCGUGGGUAUCGAACAGG